rnacentral:rRNA from 1 species
UACGUAGGGUGCAAGCGUUAAUCGGAAUUACUGGGCGUAAAGGGUGCGUAGGCGGGUCUUUAAGUCAGGGGUGAAAUCCUGGAGCUCAACUCCAGAACUGCCUUUGAUACUGAAGAUCUUGAGUUCGGGAGAGGUGAGUGGAACUGCGAGUGUAGAGGUGAAAUUCGUAGAUAUUCGCAAGAACACCAGUGGCGAAGGCGGCUCACUGGCCCGGUACUGACGCUGAGGUGCGAAAGCGUGGGGAGCAAACAGG